rnacentral:rRNA from 1 species
UUUAAAGAGAGUUUGAUCCUGGCUCAGGACGAACGCUGGCGGCGUGCCUAAUACAUGCAAGUCGAACGAACGGAGGAAGAGCUUGCUCUUCCAAAGUUAGUGGCGGACGGGUGAGUAACACGUGGGCAACCUGCCUGUAAGUUGGGGAUAACUCCGGGAAACCGGGGCUAAUACCGAAUGAUAAAGUGUGGCGCAUGCCACGCUUUUGAAAGAUGGUUUCGGCUAUCGCUUACAGAUGGGCCCGCGGUGCAUUAGCUA